GUUUCUUUUGAACGUUUUGGAUUGCAGUCUGUGUACAUCAUUUGUUACUGCAAAAAGAUCACCCGUCAUUUUCAAUCCUGAGAAUAUUCAUUCAGCAUUUCAAUGUAGUGGAUAUACAUCUGUCUGGACAAUUAAAGAGUAAACUGAAUGCAUUUUCACUUAAACAAUGAUUCAAGAUGUCUAAUUUGCUAGAUACUGUCUUGGAAAAUGACAGGAGUUUCACACGCAAAAAAACGCAGAG